UACGGGGGGGGGCAAGCGUUGUUCGGAAUUACUGGGCGUAAAGGGCUCGUAGGUGGCCAACUAAGUCAGACGUGAAAUCCCUCAGCUUAACUGGGGAACUGCGUCUGAUACUGGAUGGCUUGAGUUCGGGAGAGGGAUGCGGAAUUCCAGGUGUAGCGGUGAAAUGCGUAGAUAUCUGGAGGAACACCGGUGGCGAAGGCGGCAUCCUGGACCGGUAUUGACGCUGAGGCGCGAAAGCUAGGGGAGCAAACA
rnacentral:rRNA from 1 species